UUUUUUGUUAAGUGAGUGAGAAUAAAACUGAUGUCUGAAAUGUGGUUGCUAUUUGUAUAGUAUAAUGUUUGCUACAAAAACAGAAAAUAGUACUAAUCACACUAUUAUAUUGAAAAAUGUAUAUUAUCUCAAAUACUUUUAAUGAUUAUGGAUAUGCUACAGGUAUAUAACGAAUCUGCUAUGAAAAUAUAAAUAAAUUUCCUCACAUGCAAUAAUAACAUCAUAAAUGACAAUAUCGACAUAAUGAAUAUAUCUCGUUAUGACAGUUCGUCAAUUUCAGUUUUAUUGUAUGUUUGAACAGAUACAAAAAUGCCUUUAUAAUUUAUUGUUAGCCAAAACAACAGAAAAACCGCAAAAAGUAUGAUGACUACAAUAAACCACUAUUUAUACUUGUCAGUGAGUAUGACAAGAAUAUAUGUACAAUUCAUUACAUUAUGAAUAUAUAUAUGAUUAUUUUAAGGAUUGCCCACAAUCUUAAAUUGCAACUUAAAACUAUUUAUUUAUUUAAUUUUUGUUAGACUUAAUUUUAAUUCUAUUAUGUAACAUACUCAAUUAAAACAAGAAAUAUGACAAAAAUAUAAACAAUUAUACAUACAAAUAUUUUUUUUAAAAGUAUCUGUAUAAAAAUAAUAUUAAUGUUAGUCCUAAAAAUUUUUUCUUUGAGAGACAUUCAUUUCGAAGAUAUUUCCGUUAGAAAUAUUUUUUACAAGAGAAUUUUGACUGCUUGCCUAUGGACGUAGUCAAUGUAUUUUGCACGUUUACAAACUCAUUUUGUCUUUUAUAAACUGUGUGAUAAAAAUGAUUUCGUUUUAAUAUAAUGUAUUAUUUAUAUUUUCAAAAUAUUGUAUUAAAUAAAAUGUUAAAUUUUUAUAUUUUAAAGCAAAUUUUUUUAAUAUCAAGAUAAUGUACCUAUUUUGUUUUUGAGUAAUUAGUAACACCAAAUAUUGA